GACGAACGCUGGCGGCGUGCCUAAUACAUGCAAGUCGAGCGCAGGAAACUGACGGAACUCUUCGGAGGGAAGGCAGUGGAAUGAGCGGCGGACGGGUGAGUAACACGUAAGGAACCUGCCUCAAGGCUUGGGAUAACUCCGAGAAAUCGGAGCUAAUACCGGAUAGUUCAUCGGACCGCAUGGUCCGUUGAUGAAAGGCGCUUCGGCGCCACCUUGAGAUGGCCUUGCGGUGAAUUAGCUAGUUGGUGGGGUAACGGCCCACCAAGGCGACGAUGAAUAGCCGACCUGAGAGGGUGAUCGGCCACACUGGGACUGGGACACGGCCCAGACUCCUACGGGAGGCAGCAGUAGGGAAUCUUCCACAAUGGACGAAAGUCUGAUGGAGCAACGCCGCGUGAGUGAUGAAGGUUUUCGGAUCGUAAAACUCUGUUGUAAGGGAAGAACACGUACGAGAGGGAAUGCUCGUACCUUGACGGUACCUUACGAGAAAGCCACGGCUAACUACGUGCCAGCAGCCGCCGUAA
rnacentral:rRNA from 1 species